rnacentral:rRNA from 1 species
UGGGGAAUAUUGCGCAAUGGGCGAAAGCCUGACGCAGCGACGCCGCGUGAGGGAUGAAGGUUUUCGGAUCGUAAACCUCUGUCAGAAGGGAAGAAACCGCACUGUGCUAAUCAGCAGUGCCUUGACGGUACCUUCAAAGGAAGCACCGGCUAACUCCGUGCCAGCAGCCGCGGUAAUACGGAGGGUGCAAGCGUUAAUCGGAAUUACUGGGCGUAAAGCGCACGUAGGCUGCUUUGUAAGUCAGGGGUGAAAUCCCACGGCUCAACCGUGGAACUGCCUUUGAUACUGCUUAGCUUGAAUCCGGGAGAGGGUGGCGGAAUUCCCGGUGUAGGAGUGAAAUCCGUAGAUGUCUGGAGGAACAUCAGUGGCGAAGGCGGCCACCUGGCCCGGUAUUGACGCUGAGGUGCGAAAGCGUGGGGAGCAAACAGG